rnacentral:rRNA from 1 species
UACGUAGGCAGCGAGCGUUGUUCGGAGUUACUGGGCGUAAAGAGUGCGUAGGCGGUUUUCUAAGUUUGGUGUGAAAUCUCCCGGCUUAACUGGGAGGGUGCGGCGGAAACUGGGGUGCUUGAGCGCGGGAGAGGAAAGCGGAAUUCCUGGUGUAGCGGUGAAAUGCGUAGAUAUCAGGAGGAACACCUGUGGUGUAGACGGCUUUCUGGACCGUAGCUGACGCUGAGACACGAAAGCGUGGGCAGCAAACAGG